rnacentral:misc_RNA from 1 species
UUAAGUUCAGCGGGUAUCCCUACCUGAUCCGAGGUCAACCUUGAGAAAAUUGGGGUUGCUGGCAAGCACGCACCCGGGUCUCCAGAAGCGAGAGUGUUACUACGCUUGAAGCCGGAUGGCACCGCCACUGACUUUGAGGCCCGCCGGAACCGGCGAGGCCCAAUACCAAGCUGAGCUUGAGGGUUGUAAUGACGCUCGAA